GACGAACGCUGGCGGCGUGCUUAACACAUGCAAGUCGAGCGAGAAAGCUCCUUCGGGAGUGAGUACAGCGGCGAACGGGUGAGUAACACGUGGGUAACCUGCCCCAAGGAGCGGGACAACCCGGGGAAACCCGGGCUAAUACCGCAUGUUCCACCUCGCCUCAAGGCGAGAUGGCAAAUGGUAGCUUCGGCCUCCGCCUUGGGAUGGGCCCGCGGCGCAUUAGCUUGUUGGUGGGGUAACGGCCUACCAAGGCGACGAUGCGUAGCUGGUCUGAGAG
rnacentral:rRNA from 1 species